rnacentral:rRNA from 1 species
UACAGAGGGGGCAAGCGUUGUUCGGAAUUACUGGGCGUAAAGGGCGCGUAGGCGGAUUAGUAAGUUGGGAGUGAAAGCCCGGGGCUUAACCUCGGAACUGCUUUCAAAACUGCUAGUCUUGAGUGAAGUAGGGGGUGAUGGAAUUCCUAGUGUAGAGGUGAAAUUCUUAGAUAUUAGGAGGAACACCGGUGGCGAAGGCGGUCACCUGGGCUUCAACUGACGCUGAGGCGCGAAAGCGUGGGGAGCAAACAGG